rnacentral:tRNA from 1 species
GCCCUUGUAGCUCAGUGGACAGAGCUCCGGUUUCCUAAGCCGAAAUGCGUAGGUCCGAAUCCUACCAAGGGCG